GCACAAUCUUAAAUUUGCAUAAUUUCGAAAGAGUUAUAUAGGGUUCUUUGUAGAAUUGAUUAUGGUGUUACGGCCACAAAUAAAUAUUACAGCAAGUUCUUAUGGGAUUCUGAACAGGAAAUAAACAGUAAAAAAGAGAGAGUUGGAAGAGAAAUAGAAGUGCUAAUUUUAAAAUUUCGUUAUCACACCUCAAAGUGUGGUCUUUUACUGAACAUUUUUUCGAUAAUUCGAGAUAUAUAAAAAAUAGAGAAAAUUUGGAAAGUUCAACUCAAACCACAUAGAUGUAUAACUCGAAUAUACUUUUAAGUCCCGGAGACCAUGCGAAUCGAAUGUAUAUAAAUUAUGCGCCUUAUAACAAUUACCUGCAAAAGUCUUCAAGUAUUUCAUAAGGGCAGAAUUACAAUACAAAAAUUCAUCAACUAUAAACUAAAAUAAUAUACAAAAAAAAAAAUGAGGAUUACUAUAC